UUUUUUUUAAAUCCAUUAAACUUCAACUUGAUAAGAUAUAGAAAAUAAGAUCUGGGACAAGUCACACUGGGAAUAUUUUUCCAAUUCUUAGGCUAAAUCAAAAUUUUCAAAAACAGUAGACAAUACAACUCUUUAAAUGCAAAACCAAGAUAUCAAACAGUGAAACUAUAUCAAUUUCAACUUUAAAUUAAGUAGCAGCUAAAUGACUAGCUCUCAGUCUGCUCCCUAAGCCUUC
rnacentral:lncRNA from 1 species